GGCCUAAUAGUAUCCUAAAGUGCAAAUUUAGGUUAGAAUUUUUUUUCAUAGGCCU
rnacentral:tRNA from 1 species